rnacentral:lncRNA from 1 species
GGGUUUAAGAUAUCGGUCACCUAUAGUAGCAUGGCUUUUCUGAUGAUCAAAUCUAACAUCCAUCAUGCUUAAUAUUAUUCUUAGUUCCUACUGCUAACAAUACUCCACUUGCUUUCAAUAUCACUCAUCUAAAGUAACCAAAAUUAGUAAUUUACUCCUACAUGGUUCUAACAGAUUAAACCUUACAUGUUAUCAUGAAGCACAGCAGGGGUACUCAAGCUUUGACAUGUCAAUUUCCAAAAAAUCCAAAAAUAGUACACUUGUAUACAAGAAAUCAGGA